GACGAACGCUGGCGGCGUGCUUAACACAUGCAAGUCGAACGGAAAGGCCCUGCUUUUGUGGGGUGCUCGAGUGCCGAACGGGUGAGUAACACGUGAGUAACCUGCCCUUGUCUUUCGGAUAACAUCAGGAAACUGGGGCUAAUAUCGGAUAGGAUCUCCUGCAGCAUGGUGGGGGUUGGAAAGUUUCGGCGGUUGGGGAUGGACUCGGGGCUUAUCAGCUGGUUGGUGGGGUAGUGGCCUACCAAGGCUUUGACGGGUACCCCGCCUGAGAGGGGGAUCGGCGACAUGGGAGGUGAGACGCCGUCCAGGCUCCUGAGGGAGGCACCAGACUGGAAUGGUAGGCAGCGGGCGAGAGUAUUACAGAACAACCGCGAGUCAGUGGCGAAGGCGCUCGGUGCGGAAUGCCCUCUUUUUGGGUAAGAACCGCUGUCGCCUGAGACGAAGCGUGAGUGACGGUAAUGGAUAAAGAAGCACCGGCUAACUACGUG
rnacentral:rRNA from 1 species